UUUUUUUUUUUUCAUCUAUGUUACAUUUAUUCCUCAUUCUUUUUUUUUUUUUUUUUUUUUUUUUUUUUUCUUUUUCUUUUUAAGGCCAAAAAACAAAAAGGGAACAGCGUUUUUACAUUUCCCAUCGAUAAAUUAACAUUAAAAGAAAAAAGUACAGAAGCCGUUUCGAUUAAUGUUAACGGCAAUAAUCCUGUUAGUAAUUAUACAGAAGUAAUUCGAUUUAAAGCAUGUAACGAUUAUUCUAUUGAACUUUUUUUAUUAUGUGAAAUUAAAAAUAUAAAAUUGGUUUUACAGAAGACUUUAUAUAUAUUUGAAAAUACCAAAAUAGGAGAUACAAUAAAUGAAAAAAUAGUAAUAAGAAAUGAUGAAGAUACAGACUUAGAUGUAGAAAUUAUAAAUUCAGGAUAUUUUUUUUAUAUAAAAAAUAAAAAAUUUAUAAUAAAAAAAAAUAGUUUUCAUUCUAUAUAUCUAGUAUGUAAUUGUAUUUAUCCAAUCAAUGUAUAUAAAAGAAUAUAUUUUUUAGUACAUUUAAAUAAAAAAAUAUUUUAUAUAGAUGUUAUUUGUAACUUUUCUAUAAGUUAUAAAAUGCCUCCUUUGUCUAUUCAUCACAUAUAUAGAUAUAAAAAUUUAAUUCAUGACAAAAAUAUAGUAUACAAUUCAUAUUAUGAAAAAAAUGAGUAUAUUGAUAUAUGGGAUUUUCCAGUCGAGUUUGAUUCGUAUGAAGAUACUACAUACGAGUUGCUGAAUGAUAUAUUGGAAAUAAGUGAAAAAGACGUAUUUGCAGUACCUAAAGAAUUAGAAGUACAAGAAAUGGAAGAAAAAGAUUUAAUGUUAAUAAAUAAAACGCCAGUUGAAUAUACAUGUGUAUGGUUAAAUGCAGUUGAUAAACAGGAGCAGGGAACUUUUGAAGUAACUCCUAAAGAAGCACCGUUGUUGCCAUUCGGCUAUCAAAAAUUUAGAGUAAAAAACAUAAAAGGUUUAAAAAAAAAAUAUGUAUGUGAAGUAUACGAAUGUAUUGUGUUUCCGUCUAAUAACAAAGACUAUACGAAAUGUAACAGCAAGACAUUAUUAGCACCUUUUUUUAUAUAUGCUACUUUUUUUCAAUUUAAUACAAAAUAUAUAUGUGAAACAGAAAACGUGCAAGACAGUUUAGUUUUUUAUCCAAAAAAAUAUAUCCUUUUUAAAUAUAAUUGAGGAAGAAUAUAGUUAUGCUAUUGUCAAAUUUGAAAAUAACUCAGAAGUUACUCAAAUUAUUGAUUUCACUCCAUAUAAAAUGAAG
rnacentral:lncRNA from 1 species